AUUGAACGCUGGCCGAAUGCUUUACACAUGCAAGUCGAACGGCAGCACGGGAGCUUGCUCCUGGUGGCGAGUGGCGAACGGGUGAGUAAUAUAUCGGAACGUAUCCAAUAAUGGGGGAUAACUAGUCGAAAGAUUAGCUAAUACCGCAUACGCCCUGAGGGGGAAAGCUGGGGAUCUUCGGACCUAGCGUUAAUGGAGCGGCCGAUAUCUGAUUAGCUAGUAGGUGAGGUAAAAGCUCACCUAGGCGACGAUCAGUAGCUGGUCUGAGAGGACGACCAGCCACACUGGAACUGAGACACGGUCCAGACUCCUACGGGAGGCAGCAGUGGGGAAUUUUGGACAAUGGGCGCAAGCCUGAUCCAGCCAUUCCGCGUGAGUGAAGAAGGCCUUCGGGUUGUAAAGCUCUUUCGCAAGGGAAGAAAACUUAACCUCUAACAUAGGUUGAGGCUGACGGUACCUUGAUAAGAAGCACCGGCUAACUACGUGCCAGCCGCCGCAGUAAAAC
rnacentral:rRNA from 1 species